GAUGAACGCUGGCGGCGUGCUUAACACAUGCAAGUCGAACGGAAAGGCCCGGCGCUUGCGGGGCGCUCGUUAGGCGAACGCGGGUGUAACACGCGAGUAUACCCCCCCUGACAGAGGGAUAACUCCACGAAACAGGGGCGAAUACCGCGGAGGAGCUCCUGAUGCACGGGGUGGGAUGGAAAGUGUCGGCGGUGGGGGAUGGACUAGCGGCUUAUCAGCUUGUUGGUGGGGUAGUGGCUUACCACGGUUUUGACGGGUAGCCGGCCUGCGAGGGUGACCGGCCACCUUGGGACUGCGGUACGGCCCAGACUCCUACGGGAGGCAGCAGUGGGGAAUAUUGCACAAUGGGCGGAAGCCUGAUGCAGCAACGCCGCGUGCGGGAUGACGGCCUUCGGGUUGUAAACCGCUUUCGCCUGUGACGAAGCGUGAGUGACGGUAAUGGGUAAAGAAGCACCGGCUAACUACGUG
rnacentral:rRNA from 1 species